UGAACGCUGGCGGCAGGCCUAACACAUGCAAGUCGAGCGGAUGAAGGGAGCUUGCUCCUGGAUUCAGCGGCGGACGGGUGAGUAAUGCCUAGGAAUCUGCCUGGUAGUGGGGGAUAACGUCCGGAAACGGGCGCUAAUACCGCAUACGUCCUGAGGGAGAAAGUGGGGGAUCUUCGGACCUCACGCUAUCAGAUGAGCCUAGGUCGGAUUAGCUAGUUGGUGGGGUAAAGGCCUACCAAGGCGACGAUCCGUAACUGGUCUGAGAGGAUGAUCAGUCACACUGGAACUGAGACACGGUCCAGACUCCUACGGGAGGCAGCAGUGGGGAAUAUUGGACAAUGGGCGAAAGCCUGAUCCAGCCAUGCCGCGUGUGUGAAGAAGGUCUUCGGAUUGUAAAGCACUUUAAGUUGGGAGGAAGGGCGGUAAGUUAAUACCUUGCUGUUUUGACGUUACCAACAGAAUAAGCACCGGCUAACUUCGUG
rnacentral:rRNA from 1 species